rnacentral:rRNA from 1 species
GAGCACGUAGGUGGGUUUGUAAGUCAGAUGUGAAAGCCUUCUGUUCAACGGAAGAAUUGCAUCUGAAACUACAAACCUUGAGUAUAGGAGGGGAGAAUGGAACUUCUGGUGGAGCGGUGAAAUGCGUAGAUAUCAGAAGGAACGCCGGCGGCGAAAGCGAUUCUCUGGCCUAUUACUGACACUCAGUGUGCGAAAGCUAGGGGAGCAAACGGGAUUAGAUACCCCGGUAGUCCUAGCCGUAAACGAUGGGCACUAAGUAGAGGGAAUUACCGAUGUUCUCUCUGCCGUAGCUAACGCAUUAAGUGCCCCGCCUGGGGAGUACGGCCGCAAGGCUAAAACUCAAAAGAAUUGACGGGGGUUCGCACAAGCGGUGGAGCAUGUGGCUUAAUUCGAUGCAACGCGAAAAACCUUACCGGGGCUUGACAUGGUAGAAGUAGGAACCCGAAAGGGUAACGAACGGUAUCCAGUCCGUAGCUAUCACAGGUGUUGCAUGGCUGUCGUCAGCUCGUGUCGUGAGACGUUGGGUUAAGUCCCCUAACGAGCGAAACCCUUGUUUUUAGUUACCAGCGGGUUGUGCCGGGUACUCUAGAAAGACUGCCGUCGUCAAGACGGAGGAAGGUGGGGAUGACGUCAAGUCAUCAUGGCCCUUAUGCCCCGGGCUGCACACGUGCUACAAUGGUCGGUACAAACGGAAGCGAAGCCGAGAGGUGAAGCGAAUCC